rnacentral:sRNA from 1 species
CCAUCUCUUUGUUCUGCAUUAUCUUAUGACAAAAGAAAAAAUUCUUAUUUUGAAUCAAACUCAAAGCUAGGUCCUGAUAUCUCAAGGCACAGGUACUCGUACUUAAAGGCACUGUCAUCUCUCAAGUACCCAUCGUGGAGGGUACGGACCCCACAUGAGGGUGAGGCUCUCUGCACACUCCAGAGUGAGGACUUUAAUAAUCUAGUGGACUGUACAUGUUGGGAGGGGAAGAGCGGGGUGCCGAGGGUCUGGAGGGAGAAGAAUUGACUUCCCCUUUUGCUCUUGGAGUUAAGCAGAAAUCUAAAGAGAAGGCAAAGAAUCUUGCCUUCCUGGCAUCAUUUCCUCCUACCAUCCCAGGCCAUCAUUUAUUUAUUACAGCCAACAGACUGGCCUCUUUCUUCCCUUUGACUGGGAAUGGGUCAAAGGCAGUGCAGGAGGAGUAUCUGGUCCAGAUAAUUCACAAGCAGGGUGCAUUUUCCUCUCAUUAUUGAAAACUGUGAGUGUUUAUCAAGGAGGCAGAGUGGGAGAAGAUGAACCAGUCUUCUUCCCCUCACUACCCAGAUUUCUGCCUCCCAACAAGCCCCGUGUUCACCCUGGCAAAGAGUCUUUACAUUCAGACCAAGGAGAGUGUGACUCCUUCUCAGCACUAGCCAGAAACCUCAAGCCCUUGCUUAAGGGCCUUUUUUAGAGAGACCCAAUGCCCAGAAGGCUAGAUGCGUGGGGAGGAGCCACAUGCGAGAAUCUGCCUCCCUGCUUCAGGUCAGAACAAGCCCCAGGAAGAAAGUAUUUCAAACAACAAGGUGCAUCUGCCCCAACCCAUCCAGCCUGCAUGUUGGUGCUGAGAACAGCCUUUUAUGGGGCUUGCACUAAGCCAUGGGCAUGUCUGAACACAACAAGGAAGAGGCCAGAACAGCAACUGCACGCAAAGGGUUGAUGGGCAUUUCUUUUAAGAGAGGGCAGAAAACUCUUA